CCUACGGGUGGCAGCAGUAGGGAAUCUUUCUCAAUGGGCGAAAGCCUGAAGGAGCAACGCCGCGUGCAGGAUGAAGGCCUUCGGGUUGUAAACUGCUUUUAUAAGCGAGAAAUAUGAUGGUAACUUAUGACUAAGGAUCGGCUAAUUACGUGCCAGCAGCCGCGGUCAUACGUAGGAUCCGAGCAUUGUCCGGAGUGACUGGGUGUAGAGAGUGGCGUAGGUGGCAUAAUAAGUAGCUAGUGAAAUCUGGUGGCUCAACAAUUCAGACUAUUAGCGAAACUGUUAAGCUCGAGACCGUUAGGGGUAAGUGGAAUUUGUGGUGUAGGAGUGAAAUGCGUAGAUAUUAGAAGGAACACCAAUAGCGAAGGCAGGUUACUGGGACGGUUCUGACACUGAGGCACGAAAGCGUAGGGAGCAAACGGGAUUAGAUACCCGGGUAGUC
rnacentral:rRNA from 1 species